rnacentral:rRNA from 1 species
UGGGGAAUAUUGCGCAAUGGCCGCAAGGCUGAACGCAGCGACGCCGGCGUGUGGGAUGACGGCCUUCGGGUUGUAAACCGACUGUCGGGAGGGGACGAAGUACUCGGCCUAGCCGAGGGUGACGGUACCUCCAAAGGAAGCACCGGCUAACUCCGUGCCAGCAGCCGCGGUAAUACGGAGGGUGCGAGCGUUGUCCGGAAUCACUGGGCGUAAAGGGCGCGUAGGCGGCUCGUUAAGUGGCUGGUGAAAUCCCGGGGCUCAACUCCGGGGCUGCCGGUCAGACUGGCGGGCUCGAGCACGGUAGAGGCGGAUGGAAUUCCCGGUGUAGCGGUGGAAUGCGUAGAUAUCGGGAAGAUACCGGUGGCGAAGGCGUUCCGCUGGGCCGUUGCUGACGCUGAGGCGCGACAGCGUGGGGAGCAAACAGGAUUAGAUACCCUGGUAGUCCACGCCGU